AUCCAGCUGAAAAGUCCCGAUAGGACGAAAUGCACGUCCUGGAU
rnacentral:hammerhead_ribozyme from 1 species